AGGAAACAAACCCUACUGAACUUCGGCGUCUGGAUCGCGAAUCUCGUUGGCGGCGACAAUUCCUUCUGCAACAGAUCUUCCGCUUCGAUCGCAAUCCGAUCGAAGAGAGGUUCUUCCUCUCCCCCCGUCCACUCCCAAUCUCUCUCCAUAGAUUCUCUAAGUUGGAGACUCGCCAUCGUUCAACAACGCUGACUAGCCGACGAUCUGUGGGUUACCCGUUCCUGCUGCGUGCUUGCUUGUUCCUCGUCGCAGGAGAGAGCCAGUGGUCUUCCCUUCAUCACCGGUAGUUCACAGAAAAAAACGGAGAAGAAAUGGAUCACUUCAAGGGCCCUAACGAUGUUCGUAAAUUUUGUUGGGGCGAAAAAAGAGGAAUUGGGGGUGCUAAGAGAAAUAUUCAAUUUUAUGGGUCAUUUAUGAUCGAUGGUGACACUUACUCAUUGUAUGACUCGGUAUACCUCUUAAAGGAGGAUGAGUGUGAACCUUAUAUUGGAAAAAUAGUUAAGAUAUGGGAACAACCAGACCACAAGAAGAAAGUGAAGAUUUUAUGGUUUUUCCGCCCAAAUGAACUCGAGAACUAUUUGAUAGAUACUCCGCUAGAGAAGGAAAUAUUUUUAGCCACCGGAGAAGGUGUCGGUCUUUUCAACAUUAACCCAUUGGAAGCCAUUGUCGGCAAGUGUUGUGUGAUUUGCACUUCGAAAGAUGAGAGGAAUGCACAACCAUCAGAUGAAGACUUGAAAAUGGCUGACUAUAUAUUCUACCGCACUUUUGAUGUUCAAACCUGCACGAUAUCUGAAAAGAUUGACGAUAAGAUAGUUGGUGUAGAAGCAAAGUUUCUUCUAAAUCGGAAAGGUCAGUAGCCGAUCUCCAAAUUUGAGCUGAAAGGUUACACUGCUAACAAACAAUCCAAGGACAAUGCCGUUCACGCAAAGUGCAUAUUCAAAAUUAGCAACUACUUUUGUGACGACAGGGGAGAUUCUGUUGGUGGCAAUGUUCACAAUUCAGAUUAUGCGAAAAGUAUAUCUAAUUCUGGCCCUGUCAGUGUUAGAUCUCCCAAAAAGUUGAGGACUUUUGUGGAAGCCUUUGAUAAUACUUGUUCUAAGCAAGCAUCAAGCCAGAGUCUAAUGGUUUUUGUUCUUCGAAUCAGCUGUGCCAAGAAUAUUCUAAGCCGAGGAAUAUGUUCGAGUGGAAAGUGCCUUAAUGCAUCCUUAGAAGGCGUAACUUGAGAUCGAUAUAACAAAGCUACAAACGGAGUGCAAUGAGGAUGGCCCUGCUCAUUUGCAAUAAGAAUCAUCUGAGAAGGGGAACUUGGUGGACAGCAAAACCAAAACCUUUCGAUAUAUUGGUCAAAAAGUCGCCUCUUCGUUUAGCAUCAUUCAAAAAUUUGAACCCUGGAAGUUCUAAAGGUUGCUAAAAGAUCAGUGCAUAUGCAUUAUUACUCUCUAAAUUUUUAUUUAAAAUAGCAGUUCUAUAUAUUGAAUCUAGUGUA